rnacentral:rRNA from 1 species
GUUAAGCGACUAAGCGUACACGGUGGAUGCCCUGGCAGUCAGAGGCGAUGAAGGACGUGCUAAUCUGCGAAAAGCGCCGGCGAGGUGAUAUGAACCCUUGACCCGGCGAUGUCCGAAUGGGGAAACCCAGUGCAAUCCGUUGCACUAUCGUUAACUGAAUACAUAGGUUAACGAGGCGAACCGGGGGAACUGAAACAUCUAAGUACCCCGAGGAAAAGAAAUCAACCGAGAUUCCCCCAGUAGCGGCGAGCGAACGGGGAGCAGCCCGGAGUCUGAAUCAGCUUGUGUGUUAGUGGAACGGUCUGGAAAGUCCGACGGUACAGGGUGAUAGUCCCGUACACGAAAGCACACUUGCUGUGAACUCGAAGAGUAGGGCGGGACACGUGGUAUCCUGUCUGAAUAUGGGGGGACCAUCCUCCAAGGCUAAAUACUCCUGACUGACCGAUAGUGAACCAGUACCGUGAGGGAAAGGCGAAAAGAACCCCGGCGAGGGGAGUGAAAAAGAACCUGAAACCGUGU